CACGUAGGGCGCAAGCGUUGUCCGGAAUUAUUGGGCGUAAAGAGCUCGUAGGCGGUCUGUUGCGUCUGCUGUGAAAACCCGGGGCUCAACCCCGGGCCUGCAGUCGAUACGGGCAGACUAGAGUGCGGUAGGGGAGACUGGAAUUCCUGGUGUAGCGGUGAAAUGCGCAGAUAUCAGGAGGAACACCGGUGGCGAAGGCGGGUCUCUGGGCCGUAACUGACGCUGAGGAGCGAAAGCGUGGGGAGCGAACAGG
rnacentral:rRNA from 1 species